rnacentral:rRNA from 1 species
CUACGGGCGGCAGCAGUGGGGAAUAUUGGACAAUGGGGGAAACCCUGAUCCAGCAAUGCCGCGUGUGUGAAGAAGGCCUGCGGGUUGUAAAGCACUUUCGGUUGGGAGGACUGCUUCUAGCACUAAUAUUGUUGGAAGUUGACGUUACCUUCAGAAGAAGCACCGGGUAACUCCGUGCCAGCAGCCGCGGUAAUACGGGAGGGUGCAAGCGUUAAUCGGAAUUACUGGGCGUAAAGCGCGCGUAGGCGGCUAGAUCAGUCGGGUGUGAAAGCCCCGGGCUUAACCUGGGAACUGCAUCCGAUACUGUCUAGCUUGAGUACAGGAGAGGAGAGUGGAAUUCCACAUGUAGCGGUGAAAUGCGUAGAUAUGUGGAGGAACACCAAUGGCGAAGGCAGCUCUCUGGCCUGAUACUGACGCUGAGGUGCGAAAGCGUGGGGAGCAAACAGGAUUAGAUACCCUUGUAGUC